AUAAUAAGAACAAAUAACUGGCCAUUGUGGCCAAAGCGCUCCGUUUGACUUUUCCGAGAUCUUCUACUCUUCCCUGUGGACGACCUCUGACCUACUUUCUGUACGAUCUGAAUUUCUGCGUUUUGAAUUUUAGAAAAUUGAAUUUGAUGUUCCGAAUUUCUUCUUCAUCUUGAAAACGUGAGGCUGUAUUAAAAAAAAACUGGAUAUUUGCAAUCUAAGAAUUCAGAGCAAAAAAUAUGUUGUUUGAAAAUGCAUGCCUAUAAAACUCUGCCUUAAAAAAAAGCAAUUGUGUUAAAUUUCAAAUGUUCAACAUUCAAGUAAAAAAAAUUCAAAUUCGAAAUCAAAAUCUAAUUCAAAACUAUUUUAACUCCCAUAUAAUAUUCAGUUUUUUUAAAAAACACUUGUCAAUAAUUCAGAUUUACGAAAUUCAAAUUCAGAUUGUUUUGUCAUAUUUCUGGCUCCAUAGUGGUGUGGCCGUCUCUAGCCCGCCUUGAAAGCGAGAAGGGGGAGUCUGCAGACCUGGAGCAGGCAGUUUUACGCCCCAAGCAGUUUUGCCCCCCAGGCAGUUUUACACCCCUGUUUUUACUUAUUUGUCCAGUAGGGGGCACUGUACAUUAAGAACCACCAGAACAGACCUAAGAACAGAUAACUUCAUCGUCCAUCACGAGUUUAUGGUAAAUAAACGUUUUCAGGCAAUCGUCCAACAUGUAUAGUUUUAAAUGAUUCAUUGAUAUCGAUAUGAAUUCAUUUCAACAUCUAAAAAGAUAUGUACGUCCAUCAUCAGUGGCCAAAAGAAAUCAAAGUGGCUUGACAUAUUUUGCAAUCCUUCUGCCAAAACCAUGCUUGUGCCUGUGUACGUUGACAAUCAGGACCAAACUGAUGACUUACUUUCACCUCACUUCAUUUCUGGACAGGACACCCACACAGACUCACAGUGACACGAUCAAGUUUAUUAUGGAUGUCCUUUUUCCAGAGUCCAUCAUCUGUUCCCUUGCUGGUUUGUAAAAUCUCACCAUGCUGGAGGCUGAGGAGAAAUUUCUACAAGUCAUUGACAUACAAGUGAGCGGGAGCAGUUUGACAGGAGGAUUAAGAACAUUUUGAAGUAGAGUGAGUCAUUAUCCGCAUAGGAGUCAUUAUCGAGAGCCAUCCUAUAAUGAUCAUCAAUCCUGUUUUUGAUAAUGGUCUUAAUAAAUAAUGUUGU